rnacentral:tRNA from 1 species
GGGGUUGUGGCCCAGUGGUAGAGCACUUGCCUUGCAUGCAUGAGGCACUGGGUUUGAUCCUCAGCACCA